AGCAUAUCAAUAAGCGGAGGAAAAGAAACCAACAGGGAUUGCCUCAGUAACGGCGAGUGAAGCGGCAACAGCUCAAAUUUGAAAUCUGGCGCCUUCGGCGUCCGAGUUGUAAUUUGCAGAGGAUGCUUCGGCGAGGGCUCCCGUCUAAGUCCCUUGGAACAGGGCGUCGCAGAGGGUGAGAAUCCCGUAUGUGAUGGGCUGCCCGAGCCGUGUGAAGCUCCUUCGACGAGUCGAGUUGUUUGGGAAUGCAGCUCUAAAUGGGAGGUAAAUUUCUUCUAAAGCUAAAUACCGGCCAGAGACCGAUAGCGCACAAGUAGAGUGAUCGAAAGAUGAAAAGCACUUUGGAAAGAGAGUUAAAAAGUACGUGAAAUUGUUGAAAGGGAAGCGCUUGCAACCAGACUCGCGCGCAGUUGCUCAGCCGGUCUCCUGACCGGUGUACUCUUCUGCGUCCGGGCCAGCAUCAGUUCGGGCGGUCGGAUAAAGGCCUCGGGAAUGUGGCUCCCCUCGGGGAGUGUUAUAGCCCGGGGUGCAAUGCGGCCAGCCCGGACUGAGGAACUCGCUUCGGCUAGGAUGCUGGCGUAAUGGUUGUAAGCGGCCCGUCUUGAAACACGGACCAAGGAGUCUAACAUCUAUGCGAGUGUUUGGGUGUCAAACCCAUGCGCGUAAUGAAAGUGAACGGAGGUGGGAACCCUCGCGGGUGCACCAUCGACCGAUCCUGAUGUCUUCAGAUGGAUUUGAGUAAGAGCAUAUCUGUUGGGACCCGAAAGAUGGUGAACUAUGCCUGAAUAGGGUGAAGCCAGAGGAAACUCUGGUGGAGGCUCGCAGCGGUUCUGACGUGCAAAUCGAUCGUCAAAUUUGGGUAUAGGGGCGAAAGACUAAUCGAACCAUC
rnacentral:rRNA from 1 species